GAUGAACGCUGGCGGCGUGCCUAAUACAUGCAAGUCGAGCGAACGGACGAGAAGCUUGCUUCUCUGAUGUUAGCGGCGGACGGGUGAGUAAAACGUGGAUAACCUACCUAUAAGACUGGGAUAACUUCGGGAAACCGGAGCUAAUACCGGAUAAUAUUUUGAACCGCAUGGUUCAAAAGUUAAAGACGGUCUUGCUGUCACUUAUAGAUGGAUCCGCGCUGCAUUAGCUAGUUGGUAAGGUAACGGCUUACCAAGGCAACGAUGCAUAGCCGACCUGAGAGGGUGAUCGGGCACACUGGAACUGAGACACGGCCCAGACUCCUACGGGAGGCAGCAGUAGGGAAUCUUCCGCAAUGGGCGAAAGCCUGACGGAGCAACGCCGCGUGAGUGAUGAAGGUCUUCGGAUCGGAAAACUCUGUUAGUAGGGAAGAACAUAUGUGUAAGUAACUGUGCACAUCGUGACGGUACCUAAUCAGAAAGCCCCGGCUAACUACGUG
rnacentral:rRNA from 1 species